GUGAUUUCAUGGUCGAACAGUUUUUUGGAAAGUAGAAAUUUGUUGAUGGUGAAAAGCUCAAAGAAUUCAUGCAGGAAGUUGGUAUGAAAGGUAGUUUUCAGGUAGCGGCCAGCUUUGCCAAGCCUAAUCUGAUUGUCACCCAGGAUGAUGAGAUUAUUUCAGUGAAGGCUGAAAGCACUUUCAAAAUGCACGAGAUCAAGUUCAAACUGAAUGAAGAGUUUGAUGAAAAGACACCAGACAGUUUUAAGAUUGAAAUAUAUUCCAACUUCAAAUUAAACUGAUCUAGUGAGAAAAUGUGUUCUAAGAAAUGCAUCCUGGGUAAAGUUGUUGCAACAAGGAUCUAUGAAAAGAAAACAUGACCUCCCCAUAACCCAACAAAUGCAAUGUGUUUUUU